rnacentral:rRNA from 1 species
GAUGAACGCUGGCGGCGUGCCUAAUACAUGCAAGUCGAGCGAAUGGAUUAAGAGCUUGCUCUUAUGAAGUUAGCGGCGGACGGGUGAGUAACACGUGGGUAACCUGCCCAUAGGACUGGGAUAACUCCGGGAAACCGGGGCUAAUACCGGAUAACAUUUUGAACCGCAUGGUUCGAAAUUGAAAGGCGGCUUCGGCUGUCACUUAUGGAUGGACCCGCGUCGCAUUAGCUAGUUGGUGAGGUAACGGCUCAACAAGGCAACGAUGCGUAGCCGACCUGAGAGGGUGAUCGGCCACACUGGGACUGAGACACGGCCCAGACGCCUACGGGAGGCAGCAGUAGGGAAUCUGCCGCAAUGGACGAAAGUCUGACGGAGCAACGCCGCGUGAGUGAUGAAGGCUUUCGGGUCGUAAAGCUCUGUUGUUAGGGAAGAACAAGUGCUAGUUGAAUAAGCUGGCACCUUGACGGUACCUAACCAGAAAGCCACGGCUAACUACGUGCCAGCCGCCGCGGUAA